UCCCCGUUCACCGGGGCAGUCCCCGCAGAGUGCCCGGCAUGACCCGGUAGCAACAGCGGGCGAGGGUUGCGCUCGUUGCGGCACUUAAGCCAACACCUCACGGCACGAGCUGACGACAGCCAUGCAGCACCUGUGCUGGGCCCUUACGGACACGGGCUUUCACCCGCUUUACCCAGCAUGUCAAGCCCAGGUAAGGUUCUUCGCGUUGCAUCGAAUUAAGCCACAUGCUCCGCCGCUUGUGCGGGUCCCCGUCAAUUCCUUUGAGUUUUAGCCUUGCGGCCGUAGUCCCCAGGCGGAGCACUUAUCGCGUUAGCUGCGGCACCGAGGGGGUCGAUACCCCCGACACCUAGUGCUCAUCGUUUACAGCGUGGACUAC
rnacentral:misc_RNA from 1 species